rnacentral:rRNA from 1 species
AGGGUUUGAUUAUGGCUCAGGAUGAACGCUAGCGGCAGGCUUAACACAUGCAAGUAGAACGGUAACAGAGAGAGCUUGCUCUUUGCUGACGAGUUGCGAACGGGUGCGUAACGCGUAUGCAACCUACCCAUAACAGGGGGAUAGCCCAUAGAAAUGUGGAUUAAUACCCCAUAACAUCAUUUUCUGGCAUCAGAGAAUGAUUAAAACUCCGGUGGUUAUGGAUGGGCAUGCGUGACAUUAGCUAGUUGGUGAGGUAACUGCUCACCAAGGCAACGAUGUCUAGGGGUUCUGAGAGGAUGAUCCCCCACACUGGUACUGAGACACGGACCAGACUCCUACGGGAGGCAGCAGUGAGGAAUAUUGCGCAAUGGAGGAAACUCUGACGCAGCCAUGCCGCGUGCAGGAAGACUGCCCUAUGGGUUGUAAACUGCUUUUAUAUAGGAAGAACUACAGCUACGUGUAGCUGUUUGACGGUACUAUACGAAUAAGGACCGGCUAACUCCGUGCCAGCCGCCGCGGUAAUUCA